AUGGCCAGAGACUCACUGAAAGUGCUGAGGAGGGGGAGAGAGGGAAGAGGGAAGCGUGGGACACCGGCUUGCCCCUGCCCACCAGGAGCCUCUGAGCCAUCAGAGCGGAGAGACUCUCCCCAGCCACAGUGCAGGAGAGUGGACGCCAACUCUGUGAGAAGGCGCAGGCCUCCACUAAUCGGCUCUAGAGAUGGGAUGAAACACUUUCCCCGUAAGAGGCUGGAGGCCGACUCUGUGAGGAGGUGCAGGUCUCCGUGCGGAAGGAGGAGAAACUCUCCCCAAGGCAGGAGGUUAGACAACCCUAUCAGGAGACGCAGGUCCCAGAUCGAGAGGGACCAAUCUCCUGGGAGCUGCAGAGAGAGGGAGGGAGAGAGUGAUGAGAGUAAGGAAGAAGAGGAAGGAAACAGCAGCAGCUCUGGCUCUGCCAGUGAGAGUGAGACGUCUGGAGAGAGUGAAGGAGAAAGACAGGAGAGAGAAAGUAGAAGAGUGAUGAAGCAGGCUGCUUGUCUGUUUGAAGAGAUAUCAGGGCUGAGGGUCAGGGAGAGUCACACCCAGGAGACAGAGAGUGAGGAGGAACAACAACAACAACAAGCAUUCCCUUAUUUGUUGAGAGUAAGGACCAACAGAACACCCAACCAUUUACCAAGAGAGAACGCUGGAGGCCGAGCCAGACCCAAACCAAAACCAAGUAGGAGCGAACCCACCAACAAUGACUCUCCUGGCCCAUCCCGAGCCAAGAACCCACGCAUGAGGCCCAACAUGAUCAAACUGAAGUCCAGAGAGAGAGUCAAAGCCAAGGACAUGGGGGAGGAAUCGCUCCUGAGCCGACGCAGAAGUCGAAGUGAGACAUCCAGCAGAAGUCCUUCUUCUCAGAGUGAGACAGUAGGAAGACGGGUCACUCCAGCCUUAACGUACACGUACAGACUAAGGCCCAGAGCCCCAGCUCCAGCUUCACAUAGGCAGGCCGAGCUUGAGAGAGAAGCUGCUGCCAUUAGAGAGAGGGGGAGGAAGAGAAAAGAAGAAACCCUGAGAGGACAGAACGAAGUCAAGGAGGAAGAGGAAGACGAGGAGGAGGAGGAAAAGGAGAGCGCAGCUCUUUCCUGCUUGGGACUGAAGGGAAGGAGAGGAGGGUUGGUGAACAAUGGUAAGGGACUAAACCUGAGAUGGCGUGAUGACAACACCAAACGGAAGAGAAGAAAGAGGGCCAGAGAGGAGGAGGAGAGCAGUGAGGAGUUGGUGGAGAGGGUGUGGUCCAGGGAGGGCUGGAAGAGGAAUAAGAACAAUAGAAACACUAGUCCGGAGAUACCCAUCGUUAUCCACUAUCUAACCCGACAAAGGAGAGGCCAGUUGAAGAACCCACUACCCAACGAUAGAGGAUCGUCCUCUUCUUCUUCGUCCUCAGACUCCAGUAUCUUUAAUCUUGGACCCAACCCCAGUAAGACCGGACUACACGUAGUAUCAAUUCAGCAGAAGAAGAAUUAG
rnacentral:lncRNA from 1 species